rnacentral:rRNA from 1 species
UCGAUGGCUCAGGAUGAACGCUAGACUACAGGCUUAACACAUGCAAGUCGAGGGCAGCAUCAUCAAAGCUUGCUUUGAUGGAUGGCGACCGGCGCACGGGUGAGUAACACGUAUCCAACCUGCCGACAACACUGGGAUAGCCUUUCGAAAGAAAGAUUAAUACCGGAUGGCAUAGUUUUCCCGCAUGGGAUAUUAUUAAAGAAUUUCGGUUGUCGAUGGGGAUGCGUUCCAUUAGGCAGUUGGCGGGUAACGGCCCACCAAACCAACGAUGGAUAGGGGUUCUGAGAGGAAGGUCCCCCACAUUGGAACUGAGACACGGUCCAAACUCCUACGGGAGGCAGCAGUGAGGAAUAUUGGUCAAUGGGCGAGAGCCUGAACCAGCCAAGUAGCGUGAAGGAUGAAGGUCCUACGGAUUGUAAACUUCUUUUAUACGGGAAUAAAGUAUCCUACGUGUAGGAUUUUGUAUGUACCGUAUGAAUAAGCAUCGGCUAACUCCGUG